UUACGGCCACAUCACAUUGAAACAUCGGUCCCCGUACGAUCAGCGAAGUUAAGCAACGUCGAGCCUGAUCACCACCUAGAUGGGUGACCGCUUGGGACUACCACGUGCUGUAA